UCCCUGCUGGCGCAAUGGUAGCGCGCAAGACUUCUAAGUGGAAUUAAUUUCUAUAUAUGAAUCGAUCUUGAGGCUGUAGGUUCGAGCCCUACGUAGGGAG
rfam:Sclerotinia sclerotiorum 1980 scaffold_17 genomic scaffold, whole genome shotgun sequence.